GGGGUGCACCAGGCGCGAAAACUUUACAAUGCUGGCAACAGCGAUAAGGGGACCUCGAGUGCCAGGAUACAAUCUUGGCUGUCGCGAUGCCUAAAAAGCAUUGCAUAGCAAGGGCCGGGCAAGACCGGUGCCAGCCGCCGCGGUAACACCGGCGGCUCGAGUGGUAACCGCUAUUAUUGGGUCUAAAGGGUCUGUAGCCGGCCGGAUAAGUCUUUUGGGAAAUCCAGCUGCUCAACAGUUGGGCUUUCAGAAGAUACUGUUCGGCUCGAGACCGGGAGAGGUGAGAGGUACUUCAGGGGUAGGGGUGAAAUCUUGUAAUCCUUGAAGGACCACCAGUGGCGAAGGCGUCUCACCAGAACGGAUCUGACGGCAAGGGACGAAAGCUAGGGGCACGAACCGGAUUAGAUACCCGGGUAGUCCUAGCCGUAAACGAUACUCGCUAGGUGUCAGCCACGGUGCGACCGUGGUUGGUGCCGUAGGGAAGCCGUGAAGCGAGCCACCUGGGAAGUACGGCCGCAAGGCUGAAACUUAAAGGAAUUGGCGGGGGAGCACAA
rnacentral:rRNA from 1 species